rnacentral:rRNA from 1 species
GUAUUGAGAGUUGGCAUCAACUUUUAAUUAAAGAUUUAUCGGUAAAAGAUGGCUAUGCGUCCUAUUAGUUAGUUGGUAAGGUAACGGCUUACCAAGACAGCGAUAGGUAGGGGUCCUGAGAGGGAGAUCCCCCACACUGGUACUGAGACACGGACCAGACUCCUACGGGAGGCAGCAGUGAGGAAUAUUGGACAAUGGAGGAGACUCUGAUCCAGCCAUGCCGCGUGUAGGAAGAAUGCCCUAUGGGUUGUAAACUACUUUUAUACAGGAAGAAACAGUGGUAUGUAUACCACCUUGACGGUACUGUAAGAAUAAGGACCGGCUAACUCCGUGCCAGCAGCCGCGGUAAUACGGAGGGUCCAAGCGUUAUCCGGAAUCAUUGGGUUUAAAGGGUCCGCAGGCGGUCAAUUAAGUCAGAGGUGAAAUCCCAUAGCUUAACUAUGGAACUGCCUUUGAUACUGGUUGACUUGAGUCAUAUGGAAGUAGAUAGAAUGUGUAGUGUAGCGGUGAAAUGCAUAGAUAUUACACAGAAUACCGAUUGCGAAGGCAGUCUACUACGUAUGUACUGACGCUGAGGGACGAAAGCGUGGGGAGCGAACAGGAUUAGAUACCCUGGGUAGUCCACGCCGUAAACGAUGGAUACUAGUUGUUGGGAUUUAUCUCAGUGACUAAGCGAAAGUGAUAAGUAUCCCACCUGGGGAGUACGGUCGCAAGACUGAAACUCAAAGGAAUUGACGGGGGCCCGCACAAGCGGUGGAGCAUGUGGUUUAAUUUCA